CCUACGGGAGGCAGCAGUGGGGAAUAUUGGACAAUGGGCGAAAGCCUGAUCCAGCAAUGCCGCGUGAGUGAUGAAGGCCUUAGGGUUGUAAAGCUCUUUUACCAGGGAUGAUAAUGACAGUACCUGGAGAAUAAGCUCCGGCUAACUCCGUGCCAGCAGCCGCGGUAAUACGGAGGGAGCUAGCGUUGUUCGGAAUUACUGGGCGUAAAGCGUACGUAGGCGGUUAUUCAAGUCAGAGGUGAAAGCCUGGAGCUCAACUCCAGAACUGCCUUUGAAACUAGAUAGCUAGAAUCUUGGAGAGGUGAGUGGAAUUCCGAGUGUAGAGGUGAAAUUCGUAGAUAUUCGGAAGAACACCAGUGGCGAAGGCGACUCACUGGACAAGUAUUGACGCUGAGGUACGAAAGCGUGGGGAGCAAACAGGAUUAGAUACCCUGGUAGUCCACGCCGUAAACGAUGAUAACUAGCUGUUCGGGCUCUACGAGCUUGAGUGGCGCNGCUACGACAUUAAGUUAAGUCCGUCCGUCGGGAGGUACGGUCGCGAAGAAGUUAAAACGUUAAAAGGUAAAGUUAGUUACGGUCGUUGAGACGUUGCCGACGGACGACCGACGAGGGGAGGUUAGG
rnacentral:rRNA from 1 species